rnacentral:rRNA from 1 species
UUCCGGUUGAUCCUGCCGGACCUGACUGCUAUCGGAUUGAUACUAAGCCAUGCGAGUCUUUGCAGUAAUGCAAGGCAUACGGCUCAGUAACACGUAGUCAACUUACCCUAUGGACGAGGAUAAUCUCGGGAAACUGAGCAUAAUACUCGAUAGAUCAUAAUGCCUGGAAUGGUUUAUGGUUGAAAUGAUUCGUCGCCAUAGGAUGGGACUGCGACCUAUCAGCUUGUUGGUGAGGUAAUGGCCCACCAAGGCGAUUACAGGUACGGGCUCUGAGAGGAGAAGCCCGGAGAUGGGUACUGAGACAAGGACCCAGGCCCUAUGGGGCGCAGCAGGCGAGAAAACUUUGCGAUGUGCGAAAGCACGACAAGGUUAAUCCGAGUGAUUUCUGCUAAAGAAAUCUUUUGCAAGUCAUAAAACCACUAGUGAAUAAGGGGUGGGCAAGUUCUGGUGUCAGCCGCCGCGGUAAAACCAGCACCUCAAGUGGUCAGGAGGAUUAUUGGGCCUAAAGCAUCCGUAGCCGGCUCUGUAAGUUUUCGGUUAAAUCCAUGUGCUCAACGCAUGGGCUGCCGAAAAUACUGCAUAGCUAGGGAGUGGGAGAGGUAGACGGUACUCGGUAGGAAGGGGUAAAAUCCUUUGAUCUAUCGAUGACCACCUGUGGCGAAGGCGGUCUACCAGAACACGUUCGACGGUGAGGGAUGAAAGCUGGGGGAGCAAACCGGAUUAGAUACCCGGGUAGUCCCAGCUGUAAACGAUGCAGACUCGAUGAUGCAUUGGCAUAUAGCCAGUGCAGUGUCGCAGGGAAGCCGUUAAGUCUGCCGCCUGGGAAGUACGUACGCAAGUAUGAAACUUAAAGGAAUUGGCGGGGGAGCACCACAAGGGGUGAAGCCUGCGGUUCAAUUGGAUUCAACGCCGGA